AAUACGAAGGGACCUAGCGUAGUUCGGAAUUACUGGGCUUAAAGAGUUCGUAGGUGGUUGAAAAAGUUAGUGGUGAAAUCCCAGAGCUUAACUCUGGAACUGCCAUUAAAACUUUUCAGCUAGAGUAUGAUAGAGGAAAGCAGAAUUUCUAGUGUAGAGGUGAAAUUCGUAGAUAUUAGAAAGAAUACCAAUUGCGAAGGCAGCUUUCUGGAUCAUUACUGACACUGAGGAACGAAAGCAUGGGUAGCGAAGAGGAUUAGAUACCCUCGUAGUCCAUGCCGUAAACGAUGUGUGUUAGACGUUGGAAAUUUAUUUUCAGUGUCGCAGCGAAAGCGAUAAACACACCGCCUGGGGAGUACGACCGCAAGGUUAAAACUCAAAUGAAUUGACGGGGACCCGCACAAGUAGUGGAGCAUGUGGUUUAAUUCGAAGAUACGCGCAGAACCUUACCAACACUUGGCAUGUUCGUCGCGACUCUAAGAGAUUAGAGUUUUCGGUUCGGCCGGACGAAACACAGGUGCUGCAUGGCUGUCGUCAGCUCGUGUCGUGAGAUGUUGGGUUAAGUCCCGCAACGAGCGCAACCCUCACUUUUAGUUGCCAUCAUUAAGUUGGGCACUCUGAAAGAACUGCCAGUGAUAAGCUGGAGGAAGGUGGGGAUGACGUCAAGUCCUCAUGGCCCUUACGUGUUGGGCUACACACGUGCUACAAUGGUAUCUACAACAGGAAGCAAGACUGCGAGGUCAAGCAAAUCCUUAAAAGAUACCUCAGUUCGGAUUGCACUCUGCAACUCGAGUGCAUGAAGCUGGAAUUACUAGUAAUCGUGGAUCAGCGUGCCACGGUGAAUGCGUUCCCGGGUCUUGUACACACCGCCCGUCACACCAUGGGAGUUGGUUCUACCUUAAGGCAAGGUUUAAAACCCUUGACCACGGUAUAGUCAGC
rnacentral:rRNA from 1 species